AUGUUCUUGUUUAAGCACCGUGCUGAAACUGCACAAACUAGGGCCACAUCUUGGACUUCGUAGUAAUGCUGGCAGAGUACACACAAGAAGAAGAGUAAUUAUACUUGACUGUAAAGACUGGGAUGGCCCACCUCUGUCUUAAUGUCUGGUGUCCAUUGUCUUAAGGUUUGAUGUGCUGUGU
ensembl:snoRNA